GUAGGAUAGGUGGGAGGCUUUGAAGUGUGGACGCCAGUCUGCAUGGAGCCGACCUUGAAAUACCACCCUUUAAUGUUUGAUGUUCUAACGUGGACCCGUUACCCGGGUUGCGGACAGUGUCUGGUGGGUAGUUUGACUGGGGCGGUCUCCUCCUAAAGAGUAACGGAGGAGCACGAAGGUUGGCUAAUCCUGGUCGGACAU
rnacentral:rRNA from 2 species